CCCUAAAGUCGUUCCUACGAACCUCGCACUAAUGAUUCAUCGUCUAUAUCAGAGAAAUUGGUCUUCGAUGUUGAUUCCAAGCCGAGAAUUGAAGUGAAAGAUCCUGUUCCUAACCAAGCUGUAGGAAUGGACGAUGUGCAACCCUUCAGACCAGAUUCUUCCAGCUGGAAAGCUACUUUUUUGACUUUGAAUCAUGGAACUUGUGAAGGAUCCAGGGAUUCGAAAUUAGGUGAUAAAAGGCCAUUUGCAACACGCUCAAUGAGCAGACCUCUGGCAGCAUCCACAGAGUUUCGACAGAUGACCGUAAUGGACAAACAAAAGGCUCAGA